AGAAAGCAAUUUUUACAGCACUGGAGAUUCAGCAAGAUUGAAUAGGGGUUAUUUUUGGUUUCACGUGGACACCGUCAUCCGAGAAACACAAAAGAAGAUCACAGCAGUGCUGCACAAGGGGGACACCUUUCCCACCGCUGUGGGUCACACCCUGGGGCCAGGAGGCCACGAGCAUGGAUGGAGCAGCGGCGGCCCCUGCCACCUUCCACUCCCCUGGCUUGGCGUGUCGCCCCUCCUGAGAGGCCAGUCCUGCAGCUGCGCUCUGGUGGCCCUGCUGCUCUUCCUGCUGCUCUUCCUGCUGCCCACCUCCCUUCCUCCCGCCUGCCGAGCCUCUGCCCCGCCCCAGGGGCCCUCCCUCCCUCCCUCCCUCUCCUUGACCUCAGUACCCCAGCUGGGUUUCCAGCUUAGGGCUCCCCUGGUGCCCCUUGAUACCUUGCCAGCCCAGUGGGAUGCAGAGAGCCAAAUCCCCC
rnacentral:lncRNA from 1 species